rnacentral:lncRNA from 1 species
AGCAUCAUCCACCCCUUCCACAAGGGAGGGACCCUCUCACAUUUCCAUCCUGUUUGGUUAGGCCAUGUAGUUCUGAUGCUUGGCCACCAGAGGGCAGUGGGAGCCAGGUAACAAACUUCCCUUUCCCCACUCCUCCAACCCCCCACCAUCUCUGCACUGCCUAAAGGGAUAUUGCCAGGUCUGGAAGUGAGGAGGGGACCUCAGACACUGGCCCAGCAGUGUUUCUUUCUUUCUCUCUCUCUCUUUUUUUUUUUAAAAUAGAGAUGGGGGGGGUCUCGCUUUGUUGCCCAGGCUGGUCUUGAACUCCUGGUCUCAAGCAAUCCUCCCGCCUCAGCCUCCCAAUGCGCUGGGAUUACAGGCUUGAGCCACCAUGCCUGGCCAGCCCAGCAGUUUCUUAUCCCAUGUAGCAACCACUGGUGCAGGUGGCAGCCUGGUGCAUUGGGGAGUAUGGGGACCUCCUGCUGGCAGGGAACUGCGAGGAGAUUGAGCCCCUUCAGGUGGACGAAGAGGAAGUGCUGGCAUUGCUGGAAAAGGUGCUGCAGUCCCACAUGUCCCUGCCAGCCACUCGAGGAUAUGCCCUCACAGCCCUCAUGAAGCUCAGCACUCGCCUCUGUGGGGACAACAAGUAAGAAGGGGUCCCAGCCCCUUGAGAGAUGGCCUGUCACUGGGUCCACCCAUUUUUGAGUUUCUUUCCAGGCAUACAUGCCCAGCCCUCCCUACCCCCUAGCCCUUAGGUUCUUGUUUUUGAGCCAAAUCUGGGUAUUUCCCUGCUCCGUGGGCCUUUCCUUCUUGCCACAUCCUGCAGUGGCACACUGCCAUAGCCACUUACAUACUACACUGGCCCAGCCGCAUCCGCCAGGUGGUGUCCAUCUACGGGAGCUGCUUGGACGUGGAGCUGCAGCAGCGGGCUGUGGAGUAUGACACACUCUUCCGGAAAUACGACCACAUGAGGGCUGCCAUCCUGGAAAAAAUGCCUCUUGUGGAGCGAGAUGGCCCUCAGGCUGAUGAGGAAGCAAAGGAAAGCAAAGAAGCAGCCCAGCUUUCAGAAGCAGCCCCAGUGCCCACAGAGCCCCAGGCCUCACAGCUCCUGGAUCUGCU